ensembl:miRNA Mir6915 microRNA 6915
AAGACAGGUCAGAGCAGAUGGAGGUUCGUGGUAUUUCUCACCCUCACCAACUUCCUUCCUCGUGCCCAG